rnacentral:rRNA from 1 species
GUUCCUACGGGGGGCAGCAGUGGGGAAUAUUGCACAAUGGGGGAAACCCUGAUGCAGCGACGCCGCGUGAGUGAAGAAGUAUUUCGGUAUGUAAAGCUCUAUCAGCAGGGAAGAAAAAAGACGGUACCUGACUAAGAAGCCCCGGCUAACUACGUGCCAGCAGCCGCGGUAAUACGUAGGGGGCAAGCGUUAUCCGGAUUUACUGGGUGUAAAGGGAGCGUAGACGGAGAAGCAAGUCUGAAGUGAAAGCCCGUGGCUUAACUACGGGACUCCUUUGGAAACUGUUUG